UGAAGCAUACGUAGAAAAUAGAUGUCCUCUGU
rnacentral:piRNA from 1 species